rnacentral:lncRNA from 1 species
UAGGGUUGGUCGGAAUCAUAGAACAUAAUAGAACAAAACUUAUAAGAAGCUGAAUGAAAUUUGGAGCAAGCUAGGCAGGACAGAUCCUAUAGUAAUCAAAAAUAUUUCAAACGGAGUUCGGAAUUGAAAAGCGAAGUCCAGCCUGAAGGUACUCUAUAUAAAUGGCUAUGUGGUCUGCAGAAGGGGAAAUCACUCGGCCCUCC